GGAUGCGGCUCAGUGGUAGAGCACUUGCCUGGCAGGUGCAAGGCCCUGGGUUCCAUCCCCAGCACCA
rnacentral:tRNA from 1 species